rnacentral:rRNA from 1 species
CCCCUAGACGUUCUGGGCUGCACGCGCGCUACAAUAAUACGCACAGCGAGUAUCACCGAGCUCGAAAGGGCAAGGUAAGCAAUAGAAAAGGUACUGUAAUGGUUAUAGAUCCUUGUAAUUAUUGAUCUUCAACGAGGAAUUCCUAGUAAGUAUGUGUCAUCAUCACGCACUGAUUACGUCCCUGCCCUUUGUACACACCGCCCGUCGCUCCUACCGAUUGGGUGAGCCGAUGAAACUCUCGGAUGUAGGCUAUUCAUAGCCCGCAGAAGAGAUUUGAAUCGUAGCGCUUAGAGGAAGGAGAAGUCGUAACA